AAAAUAAUCUGAUGCCCCACAGAAAGGAGGUAGCCCAGCCCCGCGAUCGGCUGCUCUCGAGGAGGCCGGAGCCCCCGGAGAGGAUGCGCCCCGCGGAGCCGCCUGCGCCUGCGGGAGCCGGCUGCCCUUGAGAUGGAGUUGCUGCCCCUUUGGCUCUGCCUGGGUUUUCACUUCCUGGCAGUGGACUGGAGGGACAGAAGCGGAACGGCCACAGCAGCUUCCCAGGGGGGCUGCAAGUUGGUGAGUUUUCCCUUGAACCCUGAUCUGUCGGCUGCUCCUGUCCCGACAAGGCUUGGUCCAUUCGGAAAGCUGACGGAUUGUCCAUCAGGAAGCGCAGAGAAUGAAGGAGGCUGAGUCGCUCUGUGCCUGCCUAGCACGGGGCCAUGUGCAGCUGCUCUUUAACCACAGGAUUUUAAGAUGCUGCCUGGGAAGAGCCAGGCAGUCCCUGCCCCACCCUUCUCACGCCUGCCGAGGAUAGGAGGCAUCCGAGACCAGCCUAGGGCAGCCUCUUGGAACAAGAGCAACUUGUUAAAAAUCUGGAUGAUUCAGGCCGGGUGCGGUGGCUCAGGCCUGUAAUCCCAGCACUU
rnacentral:sRNA from 1 species